rnacentral:tRNA from 1 species
UGGGGAGUAGCCAAGCGGUACGGCAAUGGACUCUGAAUCCAUCAUGCGAAGGUUCGAAUCCUUCCUCCCCAG